rnacentral:rRNA from 1 species
UGGGGAAUUUUGGACAAUGGGGGCAACCCUGAUCCAGCCAUUCCGCGUGAGUGAAGAAGGCCUUCGGGUUGUAAAGCUCUUUCGGCAGGAACGAAACGGUUUACCCUAAUACGGUGAGCUAAUGACGGUACCUGAAGAAGAAGCACCGGCUAACUACGUGCCAGCAGCCGCGGUAAU